rnacentral:rRNA from 1 species
UGCGACCUCACUUCAUACGUGACUACCCCC